GACGAACGCUGGCGGCGUGCCUAGUACAUGCAAGUCGAGCGGACGGAUGGGAGCUUGCUCCCAGACCGUCAGCGGCGGACGGGUGAGUAACACGUGGGCAACCUGCCUGUAAGACUGGGAUAACUCCGGGAAACCGGGGCUAAUACCGGAUAACUCUUUCCCUCACCUGAGGGAAAGCUGAAAGAUGGCAUCUCGCUAUCACUUACAGAUGGGCCCGCGGCGCAUUAGCUAGUUGGUGAGGUAACGGCUCACCAAGGCGACGAUGCGUAGCCGACCUGAGAGGGUGAUCGGCCACACUGGGACUGAGACACGGCCCAGACUCCUACGGGAGGCAGCAGUAGGGAAUCUUCCGCAAUGGACGAAAGUCUGACGGAGCAACGCCGCGUGAGUGAUGAAGGUUUUCGGAUCGUAAAACUCUGUUGUCAGGGAAGAACAAGUACCGGAGUAACUGCCGGUACCUUGACGGUACCUGACCAGAAAGCCACGGCUAACUACGUG
rnacentral:rRNA from 1 species